rnacentral:rRNA from 1 species
CGAAAGCCUGACGGAGCAACGCCGCGUGUGGGAAGAAGGCUCUUGGGCUGUCAACCACUUUUCUCAGGGAAGAAGUCCUGACGGUACCUGAGGAAUCAGCCUCGGCUAACUCCGUGCCAGCAGCCGCGGUAAUACGGAGGAGGCAAGCGUUAUCCGGAAUUAUUGGGCGUAAAGCGUCCGCAGGGGGCGCAUCAAGUCUGCUGUUAAAGGUCGGAGCUAAACUCCGGUAGAGCAGUGGAAACUGGUGCGCUAGAGGGCGACAGGGGUAGAGGGAAUUCCCAGUGUAGCGGUGAAAUGCGUAGAGAUUGGGAAGAACACCGGUGGCGAAAGCGCUCUACUGGGUCGCACCUGACCCUCAGGGACGAAAGCUAAGGUAGCG